rnacentral:lncRNA from 1 species
UUAAUUUUCUUUUAUUUUUUUACAUCAUCCCGUAUAAGAAGAUUUCCACCCGAAGUCCACGACGAGAGGCCAAUCACCAGAUGAGUCGGAGAGGGAUUAAAGUGUAUUUUACUUUGAUUGAUUUAAAUGUAAAAAUUACACAAAGUAUUUAUAGUGUUUGAAAUAUUUUUAUUACAUUCAGAAAUGUCUAUUAAUACAACUAAAUCCUUGAAAGCUUUUAGUUGUAUUUUAAUUUCCUUCCUGGGCCUGGACGAUUGAUCCAUUAAAACUUUAACCUGUUAUAAAAACACUGGCCCAUUAAUCCAUUAACAAUAUAAUAGAUACAUUAUCAGUUUAUCAGUUUACUUAAUAACCUGUUUAAUUAGUAUUUAAGAGUUUGAUUUUAAAAAAGUACUUAAUUAUAUCUAAUACUCCCCCCUCAAGGUAGGCAUAAAUGUCAAUUAUACUUAGUUUGAACAAAGUAUUGCUCAUUUCUAUUUCACCAACUUCCUUGGUGAAAAUGUAUGCUAAUUGGUUUUUAGUGCCAGUUGGUUUUAGAGUAAUUAAGCCUUUAUCUAUUUUUUCUCUAGUAAAAUGGCAAUCCCUUUCUAUAUGUUUUGUUCUUUCAUGAAACCAAAGAGUCUCCUAGAAGGACACAAAACCCAGUAACCGAUCUUCUGGUUAGGGUACAUGAACCCCAAUCAGCAUCACAAUAACCCCUCAGUGUGAGAGGCUUAUUACUGCUUAUCAUAAAGCUUGUCCUGGGGAUCUUUUUAGAUAUCUUAGCAAUUUAAACACAACUUCCAAUUGGAGUUCAGUAGGUUUCUCCAUAAAUUGACUUAAAGUUCUGACAGCAAAAGUGAUAUAAAGCCUUGUUGUGUUUAGAUAAAUCAAUUUCCCAAUUAACCUUUUAUAUUUGAAAGGAUCUUUUUCCUGGUUUGACUCAUCUAUCCUCCAAUCUUGUUUUCAAUGGGUAUUUUGGAGGGUUUACUACCUAGAAGCCUAUUCUCAUUUCAAGAUAUCCAAUGUAUAUUUUCUUUGGGAUAAAAAUAUCUUAUUAUCUGAAUAAGAUACCGCUAUUCCUAGGAAAUACUGUAAUUUUCCUAGGUCUUUUAAAUUGAAGUAAGUUUUAAGGUUAUCUUUUAGUAUUUUUAUUUCUUUUUCAUUAUUCCCUGUGAUGAUAAUAUCAUCAACAUAUAUCACCAUGUAUAAUACAAAUUCUUUAGAUUCUUUAAUGAAUAAUGAGUAAUCUAAAAAAGCUUGUUUAAAAUUCAUUUUUAGUAAUGUGUCUUUAAGCUUGGCAAACCAUUGCCUAGAAGCUUGUUUAAGUCCAUAUAAGGAGUUUUUUAAUUUACAUACCCCUUGAUCUCCCUUUUCAAGAAGACCAGGUGGGGGUCUCAUGUAAAUAUCUUCAUUUAAGUCACCAUACAAAAAGACAUUAUUUACAUCAAUUUGAUGUAAAUUUCAUUUUUUUGUAGUGACAACUGUAAUUAGUAUUUUAACAGUGGUAAUUAAUUUUGCCACUGGAGCAAAGGUAUGAUAGCAAUCAAACCCUUCUAUUUGGGAGAAUCUUUGAGCUACUAAUCUAGCUUUGUAUCUAUAUAUCUAUCUCCCCAUUUUGAUUAUAUUUGAUUUUAAAAACCCAUUUAGACCCAAUAGAUUUUCUUGUGGGUGGAAGGGAUACUAAAUCCCAUGUUUUGUUUACUAAGAAGGUCUGCAUCUCUUUUUUCAUGGCUUCCACCCAAUUUGGGUUUUUAGAAGCUUUUAUAUAUCUAUGAGGUUCAUUGCUCAGAGAGAUUUUUCUUAAAUAUUCCUUUUUCUUUUUAUUUAACUUUUUAUAUGAUAUGUAUUUAUUCAGUGGGUGAUUAGUGCUAAAAUUAGCACUAUCAUAAUCACUAUCAUCAAUAUAAUAAAAAUCCUUUUUCUAGAUGAAGAUUGUGUUCUAGUUGAUCUUCUAUAUUAUGGGAUGUUUGAUUGAUCAGAAUUAUUUUUAUUUGACUGAACAUCAGUUAGAGAUGUUGUUCCAAUCAUUGUAUCUGAUGAUUGUUCAUUUAUUUGAACAGAAUUAUUAGAAACAGUAUCAGAAAAAAUAUCAGAAUCUUCUCUGUUAAGGUUCUGAAUGUUUAAAUCUGGUAGAGCAUUGAUAUCAGUGCUCUGGAUGUUUUCAUUUGAGUCUGUUGACCCAGGGGAGGCAUUCCUGUUUUCAUUAAUAUUCCUGUUUGAAGAACCUGUUGCAACAUAUUCAUUUAAUUCUGAUGAUCCAGGGGAGACAUUCCUGUUUGAAGAACAUGUUACAAUAUUUUCAUUUAAUUCUAAUGAUCUAAGGCAGACAUUAUUCCUGUUUAAACAGGUUGGCAUAUUUUCACUCUGAUUUGCUGACCCAGGAGAUGCAUGGUUCCUUUUUAAAAAAACUAAUAUACUAUUUUCAUCUAAUUCUGGUGAUGCAGGGGAGAUUUUAUUCCUGUUUGAUAUAAUCUCAUCAUCCACGAUAAAAACAGAUUUUUUAUAUUUUUUCUAUUGAUAUUAGAUUAUUGUCUAAUAUUUCUUUUGUUUCAUCAUCCUUUUUAUUAUCAGAAGAUUUAUGAAUAAUCUGAUUAUUUAUAUAUAUUAUGAUUAUUUUCAUAAAGUUUUAGGUUGAAUUCAUCAAAAGUGCUUUUGUUUUUAUUUUCUUAAAAAAAAAAGAAUCUUUAAUUGAUUUAAAAGGAAAUAUCAUUUCUUUAAAAACAACAUUCCUACUUAUUACAAUUUUUUGCAGUAGAAAAACUGUUCUUGACUGUAUCUUUAAUUAUCAGGAUAUCCAGUCAAGUGAUAGCAAGUAUCCUUAGUGUGUCCAUAAAACCAACAAUGGUCACAUCUAAUUUUCAGAUUGAGUUUAACUCCUUUCCUACUGAACUUGUACUUUUCAGAAUGAAAAGGAUCAUUCCUAAUGUUGGGAACCUUUCUCACAGCCAUGGCAUUAUCAAUUUUAGGACGCUCAAGCAUAUAUUUUUUUAUAGUAACUCUUUUCUGUUUUUCAUCAGUGAUGACAGUAGAAAAAGAAGAGUCCAUAUUGGGAACCUCUUUCCCAACCAAUAUUUGGCUUCUUAUGUUCAAAAAAUCUUCAUUUAAUAGUAAGAGGAAUUUAACCACUUAAUUCUUUUCAGUUUCUUCCUCCCAAAUCUGAAUUGCCCCACGUACAUACACCACAUGUACAUCUCUUUUUUUACUGAUAUCUUGCAGAUCAUCCCAGGUAGAUUUUAGCUUUAUGUAGUAGUCAAUUACUGACAUUUCUCCCUGAAAUAAAUUGGCCAAUUCUUGGCUAAUUUGGAAUCUUAAAGGUGUCUGGCCUUGGCUAUAUCUAAUUUUCAAAAUUUCCCACGCCUCAUAAGCACUCUCAACAGACCUAAUUGAAGUAACAAUAUUUUUUUCACAUGCAUUGAUAAUCCAAGAACAAACUACCCCAUUGAUUGUUUCUCAUGCCUCAAACUCCUCUGAGUUUUCAUCUUUAGGCCUAGAAACCUUCCCAUUAAUAAAUUUUUGUUUUCUUCUAGUAACUAGCCAAAGCAUCAUAUCUUUGGUCCAUGUAGGGUAAUUCAUUUGACCUUUAAGUAGAUCAUUAACUAUUUAAUUACUAGGAUUAUCACUAGAGUGUAGAAAAUAUACAGAAGACUUGGUUGUGACCGCAGUCUCCAGAUCAAACGCCUUCUUUUGUGUUGAAAUUGGAACUGUAAUCUCUGCAUUUGAGAUUUCCAUAUCUGUACUUCUUUCUCCUUGAUUUUCCAUGAGACCAGAGUAUGACGCAAACUGGAAGGAACAAGAACAGCAACUAACAUGAACAACAACUUGAUGAUACCAUAUAAGACGAUCUCCACCCGAAGUCCACGACGAGAGGCCGAGAAUCACCAGAUGAGUCGCCGGCUGGAGAGGGAUUUGGGGAAGAAUUUGAAACAGAAAACUAAUUUUUGAAAACGAUAUAAAAUGUAUUUUAC